rnacentral:rRNA from 1 species
UACGAAGGGUGCGAGCGUUGUUCGGAAUUAUUGGGCGUAAAGGGUUCGUAGGUGGGAGGAUAAGUCAGAUGUGAAAUCCCCGAGCUUAACUUGGGAAGUGCAUUUGAAACUGUUUUUCUUGAGUAUUGGAGAGGGUCGUGGAAUUGCUGGUGUAGGAGUGAAAUCCGUAGAUAUCAGCAGGAACACCAGAGGCGAAGGCGGCGACCUGGCCAAAUACUGACACUGAGGAACGAAAGCGUGGGGAGCAAACAG